rnacentral:rRNA from 1 species
AUAGAUAGGCAUGCGUUCCAUUAGGCAGUUGGCGGGGUAACGGCCCACCAAACCGACGAUGGAUAGGGGUUCUGAGAGGAAGGUCCCCCACAUUGGUACUGAGACACGGACCAAACUCCUACGGGAGGCAGCAGUGAGGAAUAUUGGUCAAUGGGCGUAAGCCUGAACCAGCCAAGUCGCGUGAGGGAUGAAGGUUCUAUGGAUCGUAAACCUCUUUUAUAAGGGAAUAAAGUGCGGGACGUGUCCCGUUUUGUAUGUACCUUAUGAAUAAGGAUCGGCUAACUCCGUGCCAGCAGCCGCGGUAAUACGGAGGAUCCGAGCGUUAUCCGGAUUUAUUGGGUUUAAAGGGUGCGUAGGCGGCCUUUUAAGUCAGCGGUGAAAGUCUGUGGCUCAACCAUAGAAUUGCCGUUGAAACUGGGAGGCUUGAGUAUGUUUGAGGCAGGCGGAAUGCGUGGUGUAGCGGUGAAAUGCUUAGAUAUCACGCAGAACCCCGAUUGCGAAGGCAGCCUGCCAAGCCAUGACUGACGCUGAUGCACGAAAGCGUGGGGAUCAAACAGGAUUAGAUACCCUGGUAGUCCACGCAGUAAACGAUGAUCACUAGCUGUUUGCGAUACACAGUAA